rnacentral:rRNA from 1 species
AACCUGCCCUUUGGAUGGGGACAACAUUCCGAAAGGAGUGCUAAUACCGAAUGUGAUCCAUUUCUCGCAUGAGAGAUGGAUGAAAGAUGGCCUCUAUUUAUAAGCUAUCGCCAAAGGAUGGGCCUGCGUCUGAUUAGUUAGUUGGUGGGGUAACGGCUCACCAAGACGAUGAUCAGUAGCCGGUCUGAGAGGAUGAACGGCCACAUUGGGACUGAGACACGGCCCAAACUCCUACGGGAGGCAGCAGUGGGGAAUCUUCCGCAAUGGACGAAAGUCUGACGGAGCAACGCCGCGUGAGUGAUGAAGGUUUUCGGACUGUAAAACUCUGUUGUCAGGGACGAAGGUGCGAUCUGCGAAUAGUUGAUCGUAUUGACGGUACCUGACGAGGAAGCCCCGGCUAACUACGUGCCAGCAGCCGCGGUAAUACGUAGGGGGCAAGCGUUAUCCGGAUUUACUGGGUGUAAAGGGAGCGUAGGCGGCAAGGCAAGUCUGAUGUGAAAACCCGGGGCUCAACCCCGGGACUGCAUUGGAAACUGUUUAGCUAGAGUGUC